ACCUGAGUGGCUCAGCCAGUUAAGCAUCUGGCUUUGGCUCAGGUCAUGAUCUCAUGGUUUGUGGGUUCGAGUCCCACAUCGGGUC
rnacentral:tRNA from 1 species